CAGUCGCCGCGGUAAUACGGAGGGUGCAAGCGUUAAUCGGAAUUACUGGGCGUAAAGCGCACGCAGGCGGUCUGACAAGUCAGAUGUGAAAUCCCCGGGCUUAACCUGGGAACUGCAUUUGAAACUGUCAGGCUGGAGUCUUGUAGAGGGGGGUAGAAUUCCAGGUGUAGCGGUGAAAUGCGUAGAGAUCUGGAGGAAUACCGGUGGCGAAGGCGGCCCCCUGGACAAAGACUGACGCUCAGGUGCGAAAGCGUGGGGUGCAAACAGGAUUAGAUACCCCUGUAGUCCCUGUCUCUUAUAC
rnacentral:rRNA from 1 species